rnacentral:rRNA from 1 species
UAGGGAAUAUUGCUUAAUGGGCGAAAGCCUGUAGCAGCAACGCCGCGUGUGUGAAGAAGGCCUUCGAGUUGUAAAACACUUUUUGAGGGGAUGAGGAAGGACAGUACCCUCAGAAUAAGCCUCGGCUAACUACGUGCCAGCAGCCGCGGUAAAACGUAGGAGGCGAGCGUUAUCCGGAUUUACUGGGCGUAAAGCGCGUGCAGGCGGCACUGCAAGUUGGAUGUGAAAGCUCCCGGCUUAACUGGGAGAGGUCGUUCAAAACUGCCAAUCUAUAAUUCGGGAAAAGGAGGUGGAAUUCCGGGUGUAGUGGUGAAAUGCGUAAAUAUCCGGAUAGACACCAGUGGCGAAAGCGGCCUCC